rnacentral:rRNA from 1 species
UAAUAGCGAAUGUUAAUGUUGUUGCAGUUAAAAAGCUCGUAGUUGGAUUUCUUAAAUCAUUGACGAUUAUUAUGAAACUUUCAUAAUGAAUCUCGUGAUUUAUAAACUUUGCAGUUUCGGUUAAGCGCGCAUUAAGUUGUGUGUUUAAACGAGCUGCUCUUUUACUUUGAAUAAAAUGGAGAGUUCAAAUCAGGCAAAUCUUUUAGCCAUUGAACAAUUUAGCAUGGGACAAUGGAAUAGGAUUUUUUUCUUAUUUUGUUGGUUUUGAAGAGAAAAAUAAUGAUUAAAAGGAGCAGUUGGGGGUAUUGGUAUUUUCGAGUCAGAGGUGAAAUUCUUGGAUUUCGAAAAGACCAACUUCUGCGAAAGCAUUUACCAAGGAUGUUUUCAUUAA